CUCAGUGGUAGAGCGCUUGCCUAGCAAGCACAAGGCCCUGGGUUCGGUCCCCAGCUCCGGAAAAAAAAAAAAAAAAGUUUAGACCUCACGAUGUUAAUUCUUCCUUAGGGAAGACCCAGACAGAUCUACUCUUAAUAAUGAUGAUGAUAAUAAUAAUAAUAAUAAUAAUAAUAAUAAUAAUAAUAAUAAUAAUAAUUUAAAAUUCUUUGUGUCUGGUUUUGCCUGGGUGUGUAUCUGUGCACCACGUGUGUACAGUGACCAAGGAAGCCAGAAGAGGAUGUUGGAUGCCCUGCGACUGAAUUACAGUUGUGAACUACUAUGUGGGUGCUAGAAACCAAACUUAGGUCCUCUACAAUAGCAUCAAGUACUCUUAACCACUGAGGCAGCCCUUACUCUAUUCCUUUUUAACACCUGCUUAGUUGGAAUAUUUGACAGGACUUACAAACAGCUGGGCACAAUGGCGCUGGCCUUUAAUCUCAGGACGGCAGAGGCAGGUGAAUUUCUCUGAAUUCCAGACCAGCCACUGUACGUAGUCAGACCCUGGCUCAAAACAGAACAAACCAUAGCAAGCUAUUUUCUUGGACUAUGUCAAGCCUAUUUUUCUUCAGGUUCUAUUGAGACAAUGUAAUAUCUUGUCCAGCACUCAGGAGGCAGAGGCAGUGAAUCUCUGUGAGUUCAAGGACAAGCUCUGGGACAACCAGAGCUGUUACACAGAGGGGGGAAAAAGAGAGAAGAACUAUUACUGAUUCUGCUCACCAACUUGGCAAAGAAAUUUAAAAAACAUUUGCUGGCAGGGCUAAAGAGAUGGCUCAGUCAAUAAUGUGCCUGCUGUCUGAGUACCAGGACCUGUGUUCUCUCCUUGGCACCCAUGUAAAAAUCAGGUUUGGUGGCACUCAUCAGUAAUUCCAGCAUUCUGUGGGUGGAAACAGGAGGAUCCCUCGAGUUUGCUGGCCAGCCAGUCUAGCCUAAUUGGUGAGCUCCAGGCUCAGUGAAUGACCUUGUCUCGGUAAGAUAAAAAACAAUUGGGGUUGGGGAUUUAGCUCAGCGGUAGAGCGCUUGCCUAGCAAGCGCAAGGCCCUGGGUUCGGUCCCCAGCUCCGAAAAAAGAAAAAAAAAAAAAAAAAACAAUUGAAGGAAACAUCAACUGUUGGCUUCCAGCCCUGACCCAAGCGCGUAUAUACACAAUUGGUUUUAGCUAAAAUAUUAAGCCAGGUCUGGUGGCACACAUUUCUAAUCCCAGCGGUGAGAACGUAAACUUAAGUGGAUUUCUGUGAAUUUAAGGCCAGCCUGGUCUACAUAGUAAGUUCCACGCCAGCCAGGGGUAUAUAGUGAAACCUUGUCUCGGAAAAUCAUAUUUUCUGGUGAGGCGAAGACUAUCUCUACCUCAGUAAUCCUCAAGGGUUAACAAAUACGCAAAUUAAAAUAUGCCUGCUGUCAUUAGCUGUCACAAAAAUACAAAUGAGACCCCAGGUGUCCCUCCGAGUGGGAUUUUGAAAGGGACAACAUACUUGUAGGCCUUAUUGAAGACACAGAGAACUCACCGGUGAUAUCACACGGUCAGGUUGCCGUUUCGGAACUCUGGCGAUCGUUUAAGAACAUGAAGCAUAAGGCCACCUAUGACCCAACAGUUCCACUCCCGUGUACCCAGUAAGAACAUGUGUGCACAGUGAAGCUCGCAGCAGGAUUCUGAGCAGCGAGAGUGAGGACCCAACACAAGUAUCCACCAUGGAAUGAAUGCGGAAACAAAUGUCCAUAUUUUUGGGGGGAGACAGGGCUGACCCCCUGCCUACAACAGAAUCGUUUGGGGCUUGACUAACAUGCAUGAGGCCCUAGGUUCAGUCCCUAGUGCUGUCAAAGGGAAAAAAGAAAAUUAUUUUUUUUUCUAUUCUUUUUUUCGGAGUUGGGGACCGAACCCAGGGCCUUGCGCUUGCUAUGCAAGCGCUCUACCACUGAGCCAAAUCCCCAACCAGGAAAAAAGAAAAUUAUUUAUAAAACACGUCGGAGUCAUCAAAAUGGCUCAGCCUGUGGAAGUACUUGUGGUCCAAGCCCGAGGAUCUGAGUGCGAUCCCCAGAAUGCACAUAAAGAUGUGAGAAAGCCAGGCCACCAAGCUGCUGCCACCACAGAUGGUGCCUCCUUCCGUUAUGCCUUUGCAACUGUGAGGGACCUUUUCUGCUCGAAUUUGAGUCAAGUUAAAUCCUUCAUUUCUAAGGUACACCCACUUUCCGUAUUUCUUAGUGUCAACCAGUGAGAUAAUUCAUUCUUUGUAAUUUUCACGACCAGGACUGGAUUUUAAACUCAUCUGUUUCUCUCUUUGCUUUAUGUCCUGUUGUUUGGAAAUGAGGUCUCACUAUAUGGCCCAGGCUGAAGUGAACUGUAGCCCUUCCUGUCUUCAAAAUUACAGGCUCGAGGCAGCGGCUACGCUGGCCUUCUCCAUUCUUGGCAGGCACCCUGACUUAUCCUUAAUAUUUGACUUGCUGGCGUUUUCCAAUAAAAGUCUAAAGAAAAA